rnacentral:rRNA from 1 species
GACGAACGCUGGCGGCGUGCUUAACACAUGCAAGUCGAACGGUAAGGCCCUUCGGGGUACACGAGUGGCGAACGGGUGAGUAACACGUGGGUGAUCUGCCCUGCACUUCGGGAUAAGCCUGGGAAACUGGGUCUAAUACCGGAUAGGACUCCGGAAUGCAUGGGCUGGGGUGGAAAGCUUUUGCGGUGUGGGAUGGGCCCGCGGCCUAUCAGCUAGGUGGUGGGGUGAUGGCCUACCAAGGCGACGACGGGUAGCCGGCCUGCGGGGGUGACCGGCCACACUGGGACUGAGAUACGGCCCAGACUCCUACGGGAGGCAGCAGUGGGGAAUAUUGCACAAUGGGCGCAAGCCUGAUGCAGCGACGCCGCGUGAGGGAUGACGGCCUUCGGGUUGUAAACCUCUUUCAGCAUCGACGAAGCGAAAGUGACGGUAGGUGCAGAAGAAGGACCGGCCAACUACGUGCCAGCCGCCGCCGUAA